AUUGAACGCUGGCGGCAUGCCUUACACAUGCAAGUCGAACGGCAGCACGGGUGCUUGCACCUGGUGGCGAGUGGCGAACGGGUGAGUGAUAUAUCGGAACAUACCCUAGAGUGGGGGAUAACGUAGCGAAAGUUACGCUAAUACCGCAUACGAACUAAGGUUGAAAGUGGGGGAUCGCAAGACCUCAUGCUCAUGGAGUGGCCGAUAUCUGAUUAGCUAGUUGGUGAGGUAAAGGCUCACCAAGGCGACGAUCAGUAGCUGGUUUGAGAGAACGACCAGCCACACUGGAACUGAGACACGGUCCAGACUCCUACGGGAGGCAGCAGUGGGGAAUUUUGGACAAUGGGGGCAACCCUGAUCCAGCAAUGCCGCGUGAGUGAAGAAGGCCCUCGGGUUGUAAGGCUCUUUUGUCAGGGAAGAAACGGUCUACCCUAAUGCAGUGGGCUAAUGACGGUACCUGAAGAAUAAGCACCGGCUAACUACGUGCCAGCCGCCGCCGUAAAAC
rnacentral:rRNA from 1 species